UGAUAAAAGGAAGAAGUCUGGCCUUCAUCCUCUCUGACUCAUGUACUUGCUUGCCCUUCUGCUUUCCACCAUGGAAUGAUGCAGCAUGAAGGCCUUUGCCAGAAUUAGGUGCCAUGCUCUUGAACCCCUCAGCCUCCAUAACUGAAUCUAGCAGCCCAAAGGGACAUUGCAAAUAGUAAAGAUGUGGGCUACGGAACAGCAGGCUUAAAACUCCCUAUCAAAGUGGGAAAUAAAAGGUCAUUCUCAAAGUGGCAGCCAAAGAGAUAUACUAACAAACAACAUUGAUGAGAAGGAGAUUCUGUUAAUAGGAGGAAGGAAAAGCAUCAAAGGCCCCCAAGUCUCAUACAGGGCUACUCCUUCAACCUGGGUUCCAGAAGGAAGAAGACAUGGAGCAAAACUGUAUGGACAAUGUAAUGUGAACAAGAAAUAAAGCAUCAUUUUUGUAAUAAUUUGCAGGGAAACUCAUGUUAAUGUUAUUCCACUAGACUAAAUCACCCUCCCCACCAAUUUGGCUGAUUUAUUCAGGCCCCAGCUGUCUGACCCAUGCUUCAAGUGCCAUCUCUUAUAAGAAGUCUUCAGUGAUUCCUCUAGCUAAACGUAAUCCUACCUACUGCAUAGAAUUGUUAGGAAGAGUAAAGAACAAAUUUAUACACUGGACAUACACUAAUCAAGAAAAAGACAAAAAAUCUCUCAUGAAGUUUACAUUAUAGUGAAAGAAACCAACAAUUAAAAAUAAUAUAUCAGCUGUGAAAAUAAGUGAAAGAAAGAUUUUCUUAUCUCCAACAUUUCUGGGAAGGGGUGUGUCUGUGGAUUUUAUGUUACUGGAAAGAGACAAUCCAGUAGUCCACUUUGUCAGGAGUGUUUCAAACAACAUCUGUGAACCCACUGGACUUCAAGCUCCUACAGGCUAGAGAUUUGGUCUAUUUCAUCUGCAUUGUGAAAGGUCCUGGAGACUGAGAAUCAGGAAUUACUAGACUAUAAUGGAUGAGAUUUAUAAAAAAUAAGAUGAAGGUAAGCAGCUGUGCACAGCUGCUCUGCUAUAUUGGGAGGAAACUAGAACAAAGACACAAAACAAGAGUUGCAAGGGUAUAUGUACAUGUUCUGCCUGUGUUUAAGAGCCUAUCUAUGUUGCAUUUUGAGUUAUCUUGCUGGAGGAUAAGUUUGCAAGUUUGAGGCAAAAAGGCUUUGUGCUCUUGUGGUAAGAUCAUCAGGGAACAGCUCUCUGGAGGUGGUGCAGUGCAUAAGAGAGAAACUGGCUAGUGGUGGAAAUAAUACACUCCUUGGAAAAAGUAAAAGGAAAAUGUAAAAUGGAGUCUACCUUCUGGAUGCAAAGAAAUUCUCAUCAUCACGUGAUAGCAAGAUAGAAAAUAUGGUGACAACAAAAUUUUGACCAUUUAUAAAUAAUAAGUGAACUUCCAAAAAAGAAGGGAAAUGUUUGGAGACCAAAAUUAAGAGAAGCCACAAUGGUUUUGAUAUCAGGAUGAUGCUGGCCUCAUAAAAUGAGUUAG
rnacentral:lncRNA from 1 species